rnacentral:ncRNA from 1 species
UGAAAGACUGUGAUUAGGAAAAGUAUCUUAGAAUUUAUUUUUAGAGAGUAGCUGUUUGGUGGAAAGCUAUAAUAAAUCUAUGAGAAAAUCACCUAGGAGUUGGAGACUGAAAAGCUUAUACGCUGAAUAAGUUAUCACGUUGACCUGCGUUAAAGGAUAGAGUAUGUAUGUACUUGAACUAAAGCAUUUAUUAUGAUGCAAUGACCUUAGGUGGUUUGCGAAUUCAACUUCGUCCUUUAG